rnacentral:rRNA from 1 species
GAUGAACGCUGGCGGCGUGCCUAAUACAUGCAAGUCGAACGCGCAGCGAAAGGUGCUUGCACCUUUCAAGCGAGUGGCUAACGGGUGAGUAACACGUGGAUAACCUGCCUCAAGGCUGGGGAUAACAUUUGGAAACAGAUGCUAAUACCGAAUAAAACUUAGUAUCGCAUGAUACAAAGUUAAAAGGCGCUACGGCGUCACCUAGAGAUGGAUGCGCGGUGCAUUAGUUAGUUGGUGGGGUAAAGGCUUACCAAGACGAUGAUGCAUAGCCGAGUUGAGAGACUGAUCGGCCACAUUGGGACUGAGACACGGCCCAAACUCCUACGGGAGGCUGCAGUAGGGAAUCUGCCACAAUGGGCGCAAGCCUGAUGGAGCAACGCCGCGUGUGUGAUGAAGGCUUUCGGGUCGUAAAGCACUGUUGUAUGGGAAGAAAUGCUAAAAUAGGGAAUGAUUUUAGUUUGACGGUACCAUACCAGAAGGGGACGGCUAAAUACGUGCCAGCCGCCGCCGUAAAAC